UCCCUCUGGAGAAAAUGGCAGAUUUCAACAGGUUUUGAAGAGUGGAAGGUCUUAUUUAGGAUAAUGGAUAAUUAACACUGGAUAUCAGAUGCAGCAUGCAGGCAAUUUAUUUUCUCUGUAUUGGUAUCAAACACACUGGGAGCCUGAUCUGACUCCCAUUAUAUAUGGAUCCAGCAUAAUAACUGCCAUCACUGAAAAGAGAUCCUCCAGAAGAAAUACAUGGAAUUAUUUCAAGUUACUAUUGGUGGACAUUUUGGUAAGUAUAUUUUUGUUGCUAAAUCAAGUUGUUGAUAUCAGGUGGUAGACAAAAAGAGUUUCUAACACCCUAGUGACCAAAGGACAUCUUUCCAUAAAGAAUAAUGACUUAUUCUUUUUUCUCUUUUUUUUUUUUUGAGACAUAGUCUCACUGUGUCACCCAGGCUAGAGUGCGGUGGCACGAUCUGGGCUCACUGCAACUUCAGCCUCUCGGGUUCAAGCAAUUCUCAUGCCUCAGCCUCCAGAGUAGCUGUGAUUACAGGCAUGUGACACCACCGUAGGCUAACUUCUGUAUUUUUUAGUAGAGACAAGGUUUUGCCAUGUUGGCCAGGCUGGUCUCAAACUUCUGGCCUCAAAUGAUCUGCCUGCCUUGGCCUCCCAACAUGGUGGGAUUAUAGACAUAAGCCACUGCACCCAGACAAGAAUAAUGACUUCUGAUAUUUCCUGUUUUGCUAUAAAUAUUAUAAUUUUCUUAGGACUAUU
rnacentral:lncRNA from 1 species